UUUAGUUAUGGUUUUUCGUGGCAUGAGGGUAGUGAGAUUCCUAUGGGUUUUUUCACGUUGCUUAGGUGAGUUUCUUUUUUGUAAGUCGAAUAUUGCUUUUGCACUUUGAGUUGCUCCACGGCCGGGGGUAAGAGUGGUGGUGUCGUGUGGAAGAAGAGUAGGUGAGUUAUUUGUCAAGGACGAUGCCUUUGAAUGUAUGAUGAUGGAGGAAGAGAUGAAGGUGUUUCUGGGUAAUUAUGAGUUCUU
rnacentral:lncRNA from 1 species